rnacentral:ncRNA from 1 species
UAACUGUUUAACUCUGAAGCAGAAUUUGUCAAGCGUUGGAUUCUUCACCCACCAACAGGGAACGUGAGCUGGGUUUAGACCGUCGUGAGACAGAUU